GAAGGGAGCUUGCUCCCGGAUGUUAGCGGCGGACGGGUGAGUAACACGUGGGUAACCUGCCUGUAAGACUGGGAUAACUCCGGGAAACCGGAGCUAAUACCGGAUAGUUCCUUGAACCGCAUGGUUCAAGGAUGAAAGACGGUUUCGGCUGUCACUUACAGAUGGACCCGCGGCGCAUUAGCUAGUUGGUGAGGUAACGGCUCACCAAGGCGACGAUGCGUAGCCGACCUGAGAGGGUGAUCGGCCACACUGGGACUGAGACACGGCCCAGACUCCUACGGGAGGCAGCAGUAGGGAAUCUUCCGCAAUGGACGAAAGUCUGACGGAGCAACGCCGCGUGAGUGAUGAAGGUUUUCGGAUCGUAAAGCUCUGUUGUUAGGGAAGAACAAGUGCAAGAGUAACUGCUUGCACCUUGACGGUACCUAACCAGAAAGCCACGGCUAACUACGUGCCAGCAGCCGCGGUAAUACGUAGGUGGCAAGCGUUGUCCGGAAUUAUUGGGCGUAGAGGGCUCGCAGGCGGUUUCUUAAGUCUGAUGUGAAAGCCCCCGGCUCAACCGGGGGAGGGUCAUUGGA
rnacentral:rRNA from 1 species